AAUUUUCUUGGACAACAAGAAAGAUAAGCUUUCUCAUCCUUUUCAACACAUUAAAUUAUCUCAUUGGUUAUCAAUAAUUAAACAAUAUCCAUGUAUAUAUCAAAUGUACCGAAAUCACCAAUUCUCUUAAACCCUAAUAUCAACAACAGCAACAACCAAAACUCCAAACAGCACAAUCAUGAAGCCCAGACAACAACAAAAAAGGCUUUGUGAUUACUGUAAUGACACCACAGCUCUCCUAUAUUGCAGAGCUGACUCAGCCAAGCUUUGUUUCUCUUGUGAUCAUGAAGUCCACUCAACGAACCAGCUCUUCUCCAAGCACACUCGUUCACUGCUCUGUGAUGCCUGUCACGCAUCCCCUGUAUCAAUCUUCUGUCAAACAGAGCACUCUGUUUUUUGCCAAAACUGCGACUGGGAAAGACACAGUCUUUCUUCUUUGUCUUCAACACACAUUCGUAGGCCGAUUGAGGGUUUUACUGGGUGUCCUUCAGGGAAUGAAUUGAUGACAAUUUUGGGGUUUGAAGAUCUGGGUCUCAAAAAGUCUCUGUUUUUUAGUGAAGAAAGUGAUGGGUUUUUGGGGUCUGAACUUGAUGAUGGCUGUUCGGAUUUGUUUCUUUGGGAUAGCCCUGCUGUUUGCAUUGAUGAUUUGAUAGUUUCCAGUGAUUCGGGUUCAAAUUUCCAGACUUUAGGAGUCCCUCCUUUGCCUAAGAAUCGUAAUGCUGCUUGUGGGCAGCACAAGGAAGAAAUCCUUUGUCAGCUUCGUGAACUAGUGAGAUUGAAGCCUGAUCCAUAUGGAAAUGCAGACAUUGACCCUGCUAAUAUCCUCCAAUCACUGGAUGCUGAUCCGCAGCCACCGAAUUUAAAUACAAUUGGUGAUCCUGGGGCAUUCACUUCAUACAAGGAAAAUCUGCCCGAUUGGCUUGCUGAUUAUGGUGAAGCUGCAAAUCAAGUUCUUUUUCUUUCUACAUUACCAAGUAGCAACUUUGAGGAAAGUUGUGCAGUUCCUGACAAAGAGUUCAAUAUUAUUGGUAGUGCAAGUCAUGUCCAUGAUGAUCAUGCAGCAGAGCCACAGCAUCUUACAAUUGAAACAUUACCAGCUCUCCCAAAUGUUGUGACACAUGAAUUAAACAGCCAGGAGAGAGAUUCUGCUAUUUCACGAUACAAGGAGAAGAAGAAAACAAGGAGGUACAGCAAACAUAUCAGGUAUGAAUCCCGCAAGGUUCGGGCAGAAGGCAGAACAAGAAUUAGGGGACGUUUUGCUAAGAUGGAUCAUUGAAAGUGGUACGCAGUUGCUGUUGCUGUUAAGUUGUGGUUUGACAAUUUGUGGAAAAAUUUUGAAAUUGUUUGUCAAACUGAUUUCUGCGUGCACUGGAUGACUACAAACUUUCUUACACAAACAAGUCACAUGUCUGUCUCACCACAUGCUGUUUUCAUCAUCUGGUUAAAGCAGAGUAUACUAGCAAGAGUAUUAUCAGGUGUAUCUCAGGAUAGGGAACAUCACUAGGAUUACUGGACAUUUUGCUAGGAUAGAUGGCUUAGUUCUGGAAUAUACCGCAAUAUGUGCCAUUGUUUCGUAUGUUAGGGCAUAUAAUAUCAUAUAUUGUUCUAUCUGGUAAUGUUUCACUGUGUUUGUUGUAGCCACUGAAGCAAAAACUUUUGUAGAUCCUCAUAAAAUAGGGUUUUCUCGUCUCAUUAUUUUUUUGGUGAAGCUUCAGGCUUACAUUAAGCUGUUCCUUUA